GGGUCAGUAGGUUGGUCGUGCCACCGGUACGUACUGGUCUCACUGAUUCCUCCUUCCUGAAGAACCGUAAUGCCAUUAAUCUGGUGCUGCGGGGAAACAGGACUGUUACUUUGAAAAAAUUAGAGUGUUUAAAGCAAGCUAACGCUUGAAUACAUUAGCAUGGAAUAAUGAAAUAGGACGAUCGAUCCUAUUUUGUUGGUUUCUAGGAUUGACGUA
rnacentral:rRNA from 1 species